CAGUCGCCGCGGUAAUACGAAGGGGGCUAGCGUUGCUCGGAAUUACUGGGCGUAAAGGGCGCGUAGGCGGCACUGUUAGUCAGGCGUGAAAUUCCCGGGCUCAACCUGGGGACUGCGCUUGAUACGGCAGAGCUUGAGGAUGGAAGAGGGUCGUGGAAUUCCCAGUGUAGAGGUGAAAUUCGUAGAUAUUGGGAAGAACACCGGUGGCGAAGGCGGCGACCUGGUCCAUUACUGACGCUGAGGCGCGACAGCGUGGGGAGCAAACAGGAUUAGAUACCCGCGUAGUCCCUGUCUCUUAUAU
rnacentral:rRNA from 1 species